UACGUAGGGUGCGAGCGUUGUCCGGAAUUAUUGGGCGUAAAGGGCUCGUAGGCGGUUUGUCGCGUCGGGAGUGAAAACCAUGGGCUUAACUCAUGGCUUGCUUCCGAUACGGGCAGACUAGAGGUAUGCAGGGGAGAACGGAAUUCCUGGUGUAGCGGUGAAAUGCGCAGAUAUCAGGAGGAACACCGGUGGCGAAGGCGGGUCUCUGGGCAGUAACUGACGCUGAGGAGCGAAAGCGUGGGGAGCGAACAGG
rnacentral:rRNA from 1 species